rnacentral:piRNA from 1 species
GGAGCCAAAUUAAGACAAAGUA